rnacentral:tRNA from 1 species
AGAAAUUUAGGUUAACCCCAGACCAAGAGCCUUCAAAGCUCUAAGUAAGCCCACUAAGCUUAAUUUCUG